GCCUCCGUGGCCUAAUGGAUAAGGCAUCAGUUUCCUAAACCGGGGAUUGUGGGUUCGAGUCCCACCGAAGGUG
rnacentral:tRNA from 1 species